rnacentral:rRNA from 1 species
UGCAAGUCGAGGGGGAUUAGCUGGGUAGCAAUACUCGGUUAUGAGACCGGCAAACGGGUGCGGAACACGUACGCAACCUUCCCAAAACUGGUGAAUAGCCCUCCGAAAGGAGGAUUAAUACACCGUAACUUAAUGAUGUGGCAUCACUUUAUUAAUAUAGCUCCGGCGGUUUUGGAUGGGCGUGCGCCUGAUUAGGUAGUUGGCGGGGUAACGGCCCACCAAGCCUGCGAUCAGUAACUGGUGUGAGGGCACGACCAGUCACACGGGCACUGAGACACGGGCCCGACUCCUACGGGAGGCAGCAGUAAGGAAUAUUGGUCAAUGGACGCAAGUCUGAACCAGCCAUGCCGCGUGAAGGAUGACGGCCCUCUGGGUUGUAAACUUCUUUUAUCUGGGACGAAAAAAGAUCAUUCUUGAUCACUUGACGGUACCAGAGGAAUAAGCACCGGCUAACUCCGUGCCAGCAGCCGCGGUAAUACGGAGGGUGCAAGCGUUAUCCGGGUUUACUGGGUUUAAAGGGUGCGUAGGUGGGUCUGUAAGUCAGUGGUGAAAUCUCCGAGCUUAACUCGGAAACUGCCAUUGAUACUAUAGGUCUUGAAUUGUCUGGAGGUAAGCGGAAUAUGUCAUGUAGCGGUGAAAUGCUUAGAUAUGACAUAGAACACCAAUUGCGAAGGCAGCUUACUACGGAUUGAUUGACACUGAGGCACGAAAGCGUGGGGAUCAAACAGGAUUAGAUACCCUGGUAGUCCACGCCGUAAACGAUGAUAACUAGCUGUCCGGGCACUUGGUGCCUGGGUGGCGCAGCUAACGCAUUAAGUUAUCCGCCUGGGGAGUACGGUCGCAAGAUUAAAACUCAAAGGAAUUGACGGGGGCCUGCACAAGCGGUGGAGCAUGUGGUUUAAUUCGAAGCAACGCGCAGAACCUUAC